rnacentral:rRNA from 1 species
AGCAGCCGCGGUAAUUCCAGCUCCAAUAGCGUAUAUUAAAGUUGUUGCAGUUAAAAAGCUCGUAGUUGAAUUUCGGGGUUCGUACGUUGGUCGGGCUUUUUGGUCCGUACUGGCGUAAUGGAUUCCUACCUUCUGAAUAACCGGCAUGCCAUUAAUUUGGUGCACCGGGGGAAGCAGGACUGUUACCUUGAAAAAAAUUAGAGUGCUUAAAGCAGGCUAUCGCCUGAAUACAUUAGCAUGGAAUAAUGAAAUAGGACGGCAUGGUUCUAUUUUGUUGGUUUCUAGGAUCACCGUAAUGAUUAAUAGGGAUAGUUGGGGGCAUUAGUAUUCAAUUGUCAGAGGUGAAAUUCUUGGAUUUAUUGAAGACUAACUUCUGCGAAAGCAUUUGCCAAGGAUGUUUUCAUUAAUCAAGAACGAAAGUUAGGGGAUCGAAGACGAUCAGAUACCGUCGUAGUCUUAACCAUAAACUAUGCCGACUAGGGAUCGGACGAUGUUAAUUUUUU